CUUUUGGUCGAACAAAUAGAGAUACUGGGCUCUAAAAUCUGAUUCUAACUCCCAGGUAACCUCACUGGGCGUGUGGUUCUGCCACACGACUUUUACAAAUGAUAUUUCCCGGUUGCGGAGUAUCCUGCUCUUUCGGUCGGUGAUGCCGACUGGUACUUCUUCGUAAGAUAAGUCCUCUUGGAGUGGAAGCGGUUCAUGAGCCAAGACAUGAGAGGGGUCCGGGUUGUAC
rnacentral:lncRNA from 1 species